UACGUAGGGGGCUAGCGUUGUCCGGAAUCAUUGGGCGUAAAGCGCGUGUAGGCGGUUCGGUAAGUCCGCUGUGAAAGUCGGGGGCUCAACCCUGGGAUGCCGGUCGAUACUGCCGGACUAGAGUUCGGAAGAGGCGAGUGGAAUUCCCGGUGUAGCGGUGAAAUGCGCAGAUAUCGGGAGGAACACCAAUGGCGAAGGCAGCUCGCUGGGACGUUACUGACGCUGAGACGCGAAAGCGUGGGGAGCAAACAGG
rnacentral:rRNA from 1 species